rnacentral:lncRNA from 1 species
AUCUUAGGAAGUGGAUGUAUCAUAAGAGGUCAGUCUGCAAAUUACCUGGAUACCCCCCUUUUUCCCGAGGGGAAAUUGCCUUCCUCGAAGGAGUUCUGGAGUCAGGCGCUUGGAACGCCUCGCUCAAGAAUGAGCCAACAAACUGGGUCCCAGUAAGCCUCAGCAGACAAAUAAAAUAGAGGCAGAACCAUAAUCAUGAUCAGAAAAGGUAAAGACAAAUGUUAAAACAACCAUUCUGUGACCAUAAAGUCUGUGUUUCUCUUUCAGCACCACCAAAGAGACAUCGCUGAAAAGGAAGUUUUGUGAGUUGGACGAAAGGAAGGCAAUGAAAAUGUUUGGAAAUAGAAACUAUUUUAGUUGCAAGUGAGGGCAAGGAAGGCAUUGAUCAAACAGAAUACUGAAGUGUUUAAAUGAAUAAAAAAAGAAAUAAAAUUAAAAUACUCUCUGAUUCUUUCACAUAUAUAAAAGGAAAAUGUUGGAGUUCCCGUCGUGGCUCAGUGGCUAACAAAUCCAACGAGGAACCAUGAGGUUUUGGCUUUGAUCCCUGGCCUUGCUCAGUGGGUUAAGGUUCCACUGUUGCCAUGAGCUGUGGUGUAGGUCGCAGACACAGCUCGGAUCUGGUGUUGCUGUGGCUCUGGUGCAGACCGGUGGCUGUAGCGCUGAUUAGACCCCUAGCCUGGGAAUCUCCAUAUGCUGCUAGUGCGGCCCUAAAAAGACCAAAAGAAAAAAAAAAAAAAAAGAGAGAGAGAGAGACAAUAAAAUAAAAUAAAAAUAAAGGAAAAUGUUUACCAGGUGAUUUUAAUCAGCUGGACAUGCUUUGAAGGCAAAUACCUCCAAAUUAUGUAAUCUGGAGCCUCCUCAAAUUCUAGAUGCAAAGCUCUUAGAGAGAUAACAAAAAAAAAAAAAAAAAAAAAAAGAAAAAGAAAAAGAAACGAUUUUGUAAAAACUAAGAUUGAUAGAUUCAGAAACAAAAUUCCGAAUGAACUUUUCAGGCCAAAGUAAAUCCUUCUCCCGCGGUUUAUGGAGCAUUUGCGUCGCAAUGACCCAUUUACGUAGAUUUUUAAUUUUUGCUGAUCUUCCAACUGAAUUUUUUUUCAAACUCCAGUUGCCCCAAAACAUAAACUCCGGCAUAGGCUUAACUCACACGACUACCCUCUGCUUAUCCCCCCACCCCACCGCCCAGGUGUCACCUCUCCCGAAUGUCUUGGGACGGGGAUGAUGGCUUUCAUCCCUCUGAUGCUGACUUCUUGGGUGUUUUUCUCCGAACCUCAGGUCCUUUCACCUCUUCCAUCACUGCUGUGACAAAUCACACCCCACUCUACUGACCAUCACCUCCCAAAACUUGGCCUUCAAAGUCCCUAUGACCCAGUGCAACCACCUGGGGCUCAGAGGGUCAAUGUGGAACCAGCUUCAUUUCCCCUUCUACCUAGUUCCUUGUACCACAGGACCACAAGGCUGUGUGGAUGAAGCAGAUUUACCAGAGGGUAGGGCUAAUUAAAUGGACUUACAAUGUGAGAGUUAAUAAAAGGUAAAAUUAUAUAUUCAAGUCAGCUUUACUUAUACUAGAAUAAUAGUUACAAAGCACUUGGUAACAAGGGUAGGUGGAAGAGUCAGCUUGAGCAGAAGAAUCUGGGGUGGGCUUUGCAGUUCUAAAUGGGGCUCCUGAGACCUCCCAGCCCACGUGGGAUGUGAAGAUGCCUUCUCUUCUGACCAACACACAUUUCCCAAAGAUAGUGGUACAAGGAGACCAAAGUCUAGAUUCAUCUAGAGGGAGAAAAACAUUUCUCUAAAUGCGAUGAAGACGGCACAACCCUCUGCCCACCCACGGGGAUAUGUUUUAAUUUUCCUCCUACUUCUGAACAGUGGCCAAAGGCAAAACAGGGAAGGGGGCUCAGGAGUCCCUUCAUCCUUGGGCUACAUAAAAAACCUGGCUAAGUUCUGGAAUGACCACUGCCUGGUACCUGGAACAUGUAUACAUCUCUACAUGGGAUCUUUCUCAGGACUCCAUCCAAGUGGAAGCAACAUGGUUUAUUGUCUUCUUGUCUAAGCAACUGACUUUUCCAGUUGCAUUAAGAAAACCAAGGUUCAAGCAACUCCUGUAGAUGCACUUUUCAGGACUAAUAUCCACUGUUUCAUGAAAGCACCCUUUUCGUUAGUUAAUAAAAUGACUGAAGCAGAACUGGUGCCAGACUUUUCUCUCUAAAUCUGUGUUCUCAAGUGAAGGCGAUUUUACCCUCCAGGGAACAUUGAAUAAUGUCUGGCGACAUUUUUGAUUGUCACAAUGGCAGAGAGGGUGGGGGGAAAUACAACUGGCAUCUGGGGUACAGGCUAGGGAUGCUAUCAAACAUCCUACAGAUGCAAAAGACAACUCCCCACAAGAGAAAAUUCUCCAGCUCCAAGUAUCAGUAGUGCUGCUAUUGAGAAACCCUGCUCUAAAUGCUUGGAAAAAAAUGAGAUUUCACUUCAUCUAUGACCAGUACUCAGCAUGCUGUCACUCUCAUGGCACUCAGAAUUUUACUUUUAAAAUUCAUCAGCUGAUCUUCCUAGAAAUCAUUCCCAAGAAGUCAGACUAAGAGUAAUCAUGGCAUUUACUGGGUUCUUACUGUGUGCCAGAUUCUGGGAAAAGGACUUUACAUGUUUAUCUUACUUAUUGUUACCAUUUUCAGCAGCGAUAACAGGAGGCUCAGGGAAAGUAAGUUGCAGAUGGAUGUGAAACUCGCUGAGGUGGGAAUCAACUCAGAACUCAAGCUUCUGCUCUUUAACUCAGUGCCUUUCGAAGGAAACCAUUGGUGUCUAUUCAGUUUAUUAAACAAUUGCUUUAUACUCAUUAUGAGAAUUUUUCUUCUUCUAACAAAAAGCAUGUGUUAAAUAAAACUUUGUAAUUAUGGUCAUCCAUCACUUGGAGUAAACUUGAUCGCUGGAUUUAAAAACACAUGUAUUAGAGUUCUCAUUGCGGCUCAGAGGUUAACGAACCCGAUUAGCAUCCAUGAGGACGAGAGUUCGAUCCCUGGCCUCACUCAGUGGGUUAAGGAUCCGGCGUUGCCGUGACCUGUGGUGUAGGUUGCAGACGUAGCUCGGAUCCCCUGUUGCUGUGCCUCUGGCGUAGGCCGGUGGCUACAGCUCUGAUUUGACCCCUAACCUAGGGACCUCCAUGUGCCACAGG